rnacentral:tRNA from 1 species
UCCUCCAUGGCGCAAUUGGCUAGCGCGUCUGACUGUUAUUCCAUCAGGACAUGCAAUCAGGAGGUUCGUGGUUCGAGCCCACGUGGGGGAG